rnacentral:rRNA from 1 species
UACGGAGGGUGCAAGCGUUAUCCGGAUUCACUGGGGUUAAAGGGUGCGUAGGUGGGUUUGUAAGUCAGUGGUGAAAUCUCCAAGCUUAACUUGGAAACUGCCGUUGAUACUAUAAAUCUUGAAUGUUGUGGAGGUGAGCGGAAUAUGUCAUGUAGCGGUGAAAUGCUUAGAUAUGACAUAGAACACCAAUUGCGAAGGCAGCUCACUACACAAAGAUUGACACUGAGGCACGAAAGCGUGGGGAUCAAACAGG